GCUGGGCGCGGUGGCACAUGCCUGUAAUCCCUGUGGCUUGGGAGGCUGAAGUAGGAGGAUCGCAGGUUCAAAGCCAGCCUCAGCAAUGGCAAGGCUGCUAAGCAACUCAGUGAGACCCUGACUCUA
rnacentral:sRNA from 1 species